AUGGCUUCCAUCAAUGUUUUAUCAUUCAUGAUACCACUUCUUCUACUCAUAACUUUUUCAUCAUUCACAAAUGUUGAAGGAGCACGUAACCUUCUAAACAUACAUCAACUUUCCAAACUUGAGUUGCCACUAACACUACCCACUCUGCCAGCACUCCCUGCUCUACCAGCACUCCCUGCCCUAGCAGCACUACCUGCUCUUCCUGCAUUGCCAGCACAACAACCUUAA